rnacentral:rRNA from 1 species
GUCCAGACUCCUACGGGAGGCAGCAGUGGGGAAUAUUGCACAAUGGGGGAAACCCUGAUGCAGCAACGCCGCGUGAGUGAAGAAGUAUUUCGAUAUGUAAAGCUCUAUCAGCAGGGAAGAAGAUGACGGUACCUGAGUAAGAAGCCCCGGCUAACUACGUGCCAGCAGCCGCGGUAAUACGUAGGGGGCAAGCGUUAUCCGGAUUUACUGGGUGUAAAGGGAGCGUAGACGGCAUAGCAAGUCUGAAGUGAAAGCCCAAGGCUCAACCAUGGGACUGCUUUGGAAACUGUACGGCUGGAGUGCAGGAGAGGUAAGUGGAAUUCCUAGUGUAGCGGUGAAAUGCGUAGAUAUUAGGAGGAACACCAGUGGCGAAGGCGGCUUACUGGACUGUAACUGACGUUGAGGCUCGAAAGCGUGGGGAGCAAACAGGAUUAGAUACCCCAGUA